UGUAGGAGUGAGCCUGCUCGCGAUGGCGGUGUGUCAGUCAUGAUAUUCAUCGCUGACACACCGCCAUCGCGAGCAGGCUCACUCCUACA
rnacentral:misc_RNA from 1 species